GCAAUCUAUUACACACUUUGAAAAGAAGAUUUUUGAAAAGAAGAUUUUUCUUCAGAGUUAAACAAGCUGUAGUAAAAAACGGUUUAUAUGUUCAUACACGGACAUCUCCAAUAACUUAUUGCUUUUCAUUAUUUAUAAUCUCGAUACUUAGGCGGAUUAUUUGAAAUGUCUGCAUCAAGCUGAGCCUUGAAACAGUAUUAGUAUUGUAUUAGUAAUUAUAUAAUUGUUUGCCAAACACGCACCCCUUUAUUCCCCUAUCCCCUCCCUCUCUAACGCAUUUUUUUUUAUAAAUUUUACUUUAAAUUGUAGUUCUGUAUCUAAAUUUAAAUAUGUU
rnacentral:misc_RNA from 1 species